rnacentral:lncRNA from 1 species
GUACUCUACCCAAAGCAACGCGUCUGUGUGCUGCAACGCCACCUCGAUUUUCGCCGUGUCACGACGAGGGAAUCCCACGGCUGCAAAGACUGAAUUCAGCUGGUCUAAGUUAAGUCCUUCUGUUGUUCGACGGAGAAGAAAGCCUCUGGAUUCGAGAUCUUCGUCGCUGAUUGAGUAACUUGGUGGCUUUCGUUGCAUUGCAGCUGGAAACGUCGCUUGUGAUGAUGAUUGUGUGACUGCGUUUUGUGGGUUUAAUGUGGACCUUAACCGGAGAGAAGCUGGAGGAGUGGAGAUUGUGCCUCCGAGAAACAUGGUAUACACUAUUUUUUGUUCAAGUGUUGAAUUUUAGGAGCUCGAUUACAUGGAAUCAGACAAAAGGAUGGUUUUUUAGUUUCCCUGAAUUUGGAUAAAGUGUGUGUUUUGUGUGUGGCUGUGGAUAAACGGAGAACCUCUCUAGUCUCUCUAGCUUUUACUUUUCUGUUUUUUGGAGGAAAUAAAAUAAAAUCGGUACGAAGAAACUCGUGGCUGUCAGAGACUAUUGUCGUUUGGUAGUUGAGAGUCAAAGAGAUACUCUUUUGGCGGGCAAUGUAGUAGCUUCAAACGAAUCCAGAAAUGGAGUGAACAAAACCUGAAUAACUUAUAUUUUUUUGUGUUUUACUUCAGUGAUUUUCCUUGUUGUGUGAUUUUUUUAGUUCUUCACAAUGGUUCUAGUGGUUAAUCAAGAUUUGAUCAUUGAGUGAUGCAAACAAGCAGUUAGUGAUUGUUCUUGUGCUGUUUUAUGUUUACCAUGUUUGAAGGUCUCUGGCAUGUGAUCAGCAGAGGAUGAGUGAUUCUUUUCUAUAUGUUUGCUGCAUUCUUUCUUGCUCAUCAAAGAUUUUUAGAGCCACAGAGCAUUUAAGUAUCUCUCCUGCAAUUCAGGAAUGGUAUCCAUUUCUUGAUCUCGGAGGUUCCAUUGCUUUGUUUCUCCUAUCUAUCUGCCUAUUCAAAGAUGGUUUUAAGGAUUGUAUAAGUUUUGAUUAAUGACUGAGUUUGUUUCUUAUUUGAAAAUUGAAAUUAUCAUCUGAUAGAUAUAUCAUGCAUAUUUUAUGGUAUUGUUUAUAUAUUCAAAAGCAACCAAACUAGAAUAAACAGUGGCAUAUGGCUAGUCCAAGACUCUGAUUCAUUGCAGCUUGUUCUAACUACCGAACGUGCACAUCUUCAUUGCCAUUGUAACUACGUUUGUCUUCUGUUCUGUAGCUUGUAACUAGCAGGAAUGGAACGUGCACAUGCUAUUGUUGACAGAAAUGCUGGUUCUUCGCCUUUACUCGCUGAACUCGUCUGGUCCUUCAAUCUUCGUGAAGGUUGGGACGGCCCAUCUUUCGUUUUCUGUCUAUCUGUUUAUUGCUCCUACGUGCAUUAUGAUGGAUUGGAGAUUACAAAAGUCGAAAGCGACCUGAGAAUAACAUCAACGUGAGGGUCUUCCUCUUCUGGAAAGUUGCCAGCUAUGUUCUUUUCUGCUCCCAUUUAUUGUGCCUCAUUAAGCUUAAUACGUUGCAUUUACAAUGAUUAUCUAAACCUCAAUUGAUAUAUUCACCAUCUUUUUUGUUUUCCAGGAUCAAAACCUGAUCUUGUUAUAUCAAAGGGUUGAUAAAGCUAUCGGUUCAAUUGCGCUUAUCAGGAUAUGCUCUGUUUUGUGUUAGAAGGAAGUCUCUGAAGAACAAGGUACAUAUUAUAUAACAGGGUUCCAACGGAGAACCGUGCAGAUAACUUAUUUGGGACAGCUUCUACAAAAAAACAUAUUCCGGCAAAAGAAAACAAUGCAACUACCUACACAUGGCUUAUUAAAGGCAAACAACACGAUUGGUAGACUUGUUUAGAACCAUUCUUCCUAGCUGCAUGUUUGUUGAUGUGCUUUGGAAGCUGAUUGCUAGGCCCCGAGGAUGCAUCAGAAGCCAUGGAAUCAUCACUCUCUUCAUCACCACCAUCAUCACUAGUAUCGCCAUCAUCGUUCUCAUAACCAUCAUCAGCCUCUUUAACCUGUGUAUCAUCAUCAUCAUCAUCGACAACAACAGAUGAUUGGUCAUUUCCAUGGAAGGCGUCUUCUAUGUACAUAGUCCACCCUGACUCACAACUGCUGUAUUCCUCCUCUUCAGAGCCUCCAUGGUUUCUCGGAGACUCCAUGGCUUCACGCAACAGAAAGAGGAAAACAAAACCAAGGUCUCAAAAUUAGCUUAUAUGCACAGACACAAAAAGAUCACUUACUUCUUCUAGUUACGUACCUUAUGUGAUCCAAUCCACUUCACCAAUUUACUCUCUGAUAUAGGGUCUGUGUCUCUGUCUCUCAUUUGCUUUGCUCUUCUUCCAUCAUCAAUAAAUAUAAAUUUCUUUUUGUGUUUUUUGAAGUAUCAAGAAAAGCCGGAGCCUAUAGGAAGCCUCAUAUAAUUGAAGAGAAGGAGUAAGUUUCACCACAUGGCAACCCUAGCACCAUUGUUUUCACUCAAUUGAAGCACUACCAGACAAAGCUCAUUGCAGAUAUAUAUCAAGGGAAGGAAGGUUAGUGCCUCCCUUCAUUAUAAAGUACACUCUCUUAUAGAAUUAAAAGCCUAUGCUCUUCUUUUUCAAUAUCAACUAACUAUACUUUUCUUUAAACAAAUAUUUUGGUUCCUAACAAACCAUAAUCUAGUCUUAGAGUCAGGACACAUCAAUAUCCACAGAACAAGAAUCAUCCUUGUAAGCUCUGUCAUUAGUUAUAUGACUUCUUAAUUGAUAUGUGAAGUUAUAAGUUAUCUCUAUCUCUCUCUCUCUUCUCUUCUCUCUAUGUAUGACUCUGGCUAUCUUAAAUAGAAAAGAUCAGCUUUUGAGGUGGAAAUCAGAAGAGACCCACAUGAACAAACAAGAAGGAAUAAAAGAAGCAUUUACUUAAUUAGGUUAAGAGCUGUUCCUCUUUCUCAUUCCUUUAAUACUCUUCUUCAUCCUCCAAUCCUCUCUCAUUGUCUUUAAAAUUGUUGCAGCCUUUUACUUCAUCUCUCAUUGUAUUGAAAAGGUUUACACAACUGGAUUUUGUUUGUCAUUUUUGUUUUAAAAGAUAAGGACAAAACAAAAAGAAGUAAACAACUGUCACAAACCCCAAAAUAAAAGUAAAAGACAGAAUUUGCAAAUUACAAGAAUAAAUUGUCUUCAUUGCGUUUCCUGUUUCUCUGGCGUCACCUUAAAAUGUUCUUUCAGUGGAGGCCCUCUUGGUGACAGCUUGCAAAUCAAGUGUGUGAUGAGAGUUCAUUUUACAAAAGGGUUGUUUUGUUUUGACUUUGACUCUUGUUUGAAUAUUGUGUAAACAAAGAUAUUAAGACAUUAUACAUUAGUUUGACUCUACUUUUAAUAAUGUAUCAGCUUUGUGUGCUUUUAAGACAUUUUCGAGUCUCAUAGAAUUUGAAAGUGGGCGUGUAGAAUUUGGAGAGAUGUGUACAAAUCGUUAAUAGCUAAAAAGAAUGGAGUUGGACUCGUUGGAUUUACUCGUGUGUCUCUUUCUACAAUUGCCCUAUGUGUGUGUGUGUGACUGUGGAAUGUCACUGUACGUCACUGUUAAGUAUCACCGAUUCAUUUAUUUAUUUUGAAGUUUAAUUUGACAAGUCACAGAUUCGAAAGCAUCAUCGGGACAAUGGCUUGACCUCAUUGAUAAUUUUGGUUGGCAAGUCGGUGAGACUAAGGAUGGAACUUGAUAACAAGUGAAUUAGUUUUUAAAUCGAUAUUCAU